rnacentral:lncRNA from 1 species
UGAGGUUGUAGUUCAGUGGUAGAGCACUAGCACGUGUGAGGAACUGGGUUCAAUCCUCAGCACUACACAUAAAUAAAUAAAAUAAAAGUCCAUUGACAAUUAGAAAAACUGUUUUAAAAUACAUAAAUAUCUGUUACUUGUUCCUGGAACAUAUUUAUUUUUGCACUUGGGAAUAGACUGGUUAAUAUUCUAGACAUUUUUGCAAACCAAAUAAUGAAACUCACUUUAUACCCCUGCUCCACCCUUCUUUCCCUAGAAAGGAGGCAAAGGUCCUCUUAGGUGGUUACACAAUAUCUAGCUUUAGACAGUCUAAUUUCCUUCCCCUGUCCCUCAGAACUAGGCACGGUAUCUUUUCUUAAAAGAUUUCACGCUGCAAGAAGGUGAAUAGCUAUGUGCACUUAAAGUAUUUAAUGUUUGUUUAAUUAUAUCUGUAGGAAUCUAAAAGCAAUUUGAGAAUUGUCUAUGGAAAAUGUAGAUUCUGUUUCUGCUUCCAGAGCAUGACUAUUUCUACUCACAUGCCUGGCAGCCAUCUUCCCAGUGCUAUGUGGGACAAGAUUUUUUUUUUUUUUUUUUGGUACUCGGGAUUGAACCCAGGGGUGCUUUAUCACUGAGCUACACCUCC